GUCUAAAGAAAGCAUUCCAAUUGGCACUGUUCUUUACUGUUCAUUGUUUUUGGACCCCAAUUUCACUUUAUUUACGAGGAUGCCACUGGCUCUCUCUGCUGCUGAUCUUCAUGCUGCGUGUUAUAAUCAUGGAAAGGCAGGGGUGCGAUGGUCAUUUUAGUCUGUAGGGUUUCGAACGGGAUGGGUGGGUUAGAGACUUUCAUUUCCUUUCUUUCUGAUGAGCUGCAGUGGGACUCGGGGACAGCAUGCCGUCGGGAGAGAGAAAGCGAGCGAGCAGAGAGAGAAGAGAGACAGGGAGGGAGAGAGAUAGAGAUUUGGUGAGAGGAAGGCAUGUGGCUUGCAGGCAGACAGAGUCACAGGGGGUGUACGAUUCGAGGGAGAGAAAGGGGGUUGGUUUCGAAAGCUCUACCUAGGGUUGUUUCAAAUCUUUUGUGCUUUAGGAUUAGGUUUACAAACUCUAUUCAUAUCAUGCAGCUUCAGAUUCGAAAUUGUGAUUUUGGUCGGCAAGAAUUCUAGGUGAUUGAAGCCUUUUGUUGCUGGUUUCCCUUCGAUUCAAAAUGGAGGUUAGUGGGAUCUGUUUUGAUAAGGCCCUUUAUCUUUUGAUGUGAAGCCCACAAACCAAGUAGUGACGGUUGAAAGCCUCAAACAUGGCAGGCGCGAAUUGGAGGUACAGUGACGGUCAACAAUUGCCUCCGUUGUCGAUGAAUUUGGCCGUCAGAAAGAAUCUUAUGGUUAAGAAUGUGAAAGCUCUACUAGAGGUGGAGUACUUUGAUUUGGGGUGACAAUGAUGUACCCUGAUCCACAACACCACAAACAACAGCACCCGCAACAUCAGCAGCAACACCCUCAACAUCAGCGGCAACACCCUCAACAUCAGCAGCAACAUUUGCAACACCAGUAGCGUCAACAGCAGGGCGGAGAAUUUCAUAUCCCCCCCUGGGCACCACCGGCCCCAAUGAUGCAUCAGCCGUCGGUAUGCCCCCCGAAGUAUCACAACCCACCUGUGCUUGCUCAUCCUCUUCCUCCUUAUGAUGCUCAUGCUGACACUUUUCUUGGAUAAAAGAUGAGAAAGCUUACACAGAGGAAAGCAGUUGAUUAUACUAGCACUGUCGUGCGAUAUAUGCAGUCCAUUCUUGGGUACAUAAUCUGAUCUGAUAAGGGGCAUCACCUGAAAAGUUUGUUAGGAGCAAGGUCGGUUGUUGAAACACCAUUUGUGAGAGUUUGUGCGUCAACUAACAUAAAACAAAGAAAGUCUUCACACCAAAUGGAUGGGAAUCGUCUCCAUCUGGUAAAUUUGUCCAUCCUUCUGGAGUGGAGCACUAUCUUUCUAACAGCAUAAAUGCUAUGAGAAACUGACAUGGAGACAAAUAGUUGUUUACUCCAUUCUAGGUAUGUUUUUCUUUAGUAUUUUAGAGGGAUUCUUAACUCUUCCCCAUUGUAAUCUUAACCCUUGUAUCUAUCUCUCUCAAAAGAAGAUGAGAGUAACAACUGUUGAAAAGCAAAUUCUCAGAUGUAUCUAAGCUUAUACAUACAUUGGACAAAAACUGAAUCUUAAAUUGGGGCAGUGAGUUCUGCAA